rnacentral:rRNA from 1 species
AAGAACCAACAGGGAUGCCCCAGUAACGGCGAGUGAAGCGGCAACAGCUCAAAUUUGAAAUCUGGCUCUCAGGGCCCGAGUUGUAAUUUGUAGAGGAUGCUUUUGGCGAGGUGCCUUCCGAGUUCCCUGGAACGGGACGCCACAGAGGGUGAGAGCCCCGUAUGGUCGGACACCGAGCCUCUGUAAAGCUCCUUCGACGAGUCGAGUAGUUUGGGAAUGCUGCUCAAAAUGGGAGGUAUAUGUCUUCUAAAGCUAAAUAUUGGCCAGAGACCGAUAGCGCACAAGUAGAGUGAUCGAAAGAUGAAAAGCACUUUGAAAAGAGGGUUAAAAAGUACGUGAAAUUGUUGAAAGGGAAGCGCCUAUGACCAGACUUGCGCCCGGUGAAUCACCCAGCGUUCUCGCUGGUGCACUUUGCCGGGCACAGGCCAGCAUCAGUUCAGCGCGGGGGAGAAAGGCUUCGGGAAUGUGGCUCCCUCGGGAGUGUUAUAGCCCGCUGCGUAAUGCCCUGCGCCGGACUGAGGUACGCGCAUUGCAAGGAUGCUGGCGUAAUGGUCAUCAGCGACCCGUCUUGAAACACGGACCAAGGAGUCGUCUUCGUAUGCGAGUGUUCGGGUGUCAAACCCCUACGCGUAAUGAAAGUGAACGCAGGUGAGAGCUUCGGCGCAUCACCGACCGAUCCUGAUGUUCUCGGAUGGAUUUGAGUAAGAGCAUACGGGGCCGGACCCGAAAGAAGGUGAACUAUGCCUGUAUAGGGUGAAGCCAGAGGAAACUCUGGUGGAGGCUCGCAGCGGUUCUGACGUGCGAAUCGAUCGUCAAAUAUGGGCAUGGGGGCGAAAGACUAAUCGACC